CGGUAUUUUGACCGUGCGAAGGUAGCGCAAUCACUUGUCUUUUAAAUGGAGACCCGUAUGAAUGGCAUAACGAGGGCUUAACUGUCUCCUCUUUCAGGUCAAUGAAAUUGAUCUUCCCGUGCAGAAGCGGGAAUACAAACAUAAGACGAGAAGACCCUAUGGAGCUUUAGACACCAAGGUAGCCCACGUUAAACACCCUCAAUAAUGGACUAAACCAAAUGGAGACCUACCCUAAUGUCUUUGGUUGGGGCGACCGCGGGGAAUUAAAUAACCCCCACGUGGAAUGGGAGAACCUCUCUCCUAAAACUAGGAGCUACAGCUCUAAUGAACAGAAUUUCUGACCAAUAAGAUCCGGCAAAGCCGAUCAACGGACCGAGUUACCCUAGGGAUAACAGCGCAAUCCUCUUUUAGAGCCCAUAUCAACAAGGGGGUUUACGACCUCGAUGUUGGAUCAGGACAUCCUAAU
rnacentral:rRNA from 1 species